CACGCGUUGUCUGUGUGGUUUACAAGUUUCUUGGCGAUAUGGGGGAAAAGUUCCUCACAUACCAACGGAAAAUGGGCGUCAUAUACAUGCAGUCACACAGGGGUUCCAAGACCCACCGGCGUAAAAUCAAGUCAAAGGCUGCUGUCUCAUAAUAUGGCGAAGACGAGUCACCUGAAGGCCUAACUCGCCAUAGAAGACUGAAAGAAUUGUCCUGCAGGAUGCUGUGUCCUGCAAUCCUGUGUACUGUGCUACAGACGCAUGUGGAGGUCAACCCAAAAUGGGCACAGUCUCACCGCAGAAGAGUGAAAGAGGAUCCUGGCAGGGAGACGGUAGUGUCCUGCAGAAUGGUGAUGGGCCAAUCUUUCAAGAGACCACAGAAAACUGAUAUAGUGUAAGAUUAUCCCUGUUGGGCUCAAUAGGUCUUGCUUAUUG